rnacentral:rRNA from 1 species
UUGGAGGGCAAGUCUGGUGCCAGCAGCCGCGGUAAUUCCAGCUCCAAUAGCGUAUAUUAAAGUUGUUGCAGUUAAAAAGCUCGUAGUUGAAUUUCGGGAUCAAUAUGUCGGUCGUGCCUUCGGUACGUACUGGUAUCAUUGGUCUCUCCUUUCUGACGAACCAUGAUGUCAUUAAUUUGGUGUUAUGGGGAGUUAGGACUGUUACUUUGAAAAAAUUAGAGUGUUUAAAGCAGGCUUUAGCUUGAAUACAUUAGCAUGGAAUAAUGAAAUAGGACGUUUGAUUCUAUUUUGUUGGUUUCUAGGAUUGACGUAAUGAUUAAUAGGGAUAGUUGGGGGCAUUAGUAUUCAAUUGUCAGAGGUGAAAUUCUUGGAUUUAUUGAAGACUAACUACUGCGAAAGCAUUUGCCAAGGAUGUUUUCAUUAAUCAAGAACGAAAGUUAGGGGAUCGAAGACGAUCAGAUACCGUCGUAGUCUUAACCAUAAACUAUGCCGACUAGGGAUCGGAUGAUGUUAAUUUAUGACUCAUUCGGCGCCUUACGGGAAACCAAAGUGUUUGGGUUC